rnacentral:tRNA from 1 species
AGUAAGAUAAGCUAAAUAAGCUUUUGGGCCCAUACCCCAAGAAUGUAGGUGAAACCCCUUCUCUCACUA